rnacentral:lncRNA from 1 species
GUCCUUUCCUGUCCCAUUGUGAGCCCAUCGGCCCGUCUUGUUGAGCGAGCUGUAGGAAACGGAGAGCCAGUAGAGGGCUCUGCUGUCUGGUUGCAGCCAGAGGUAGGGGGCAGCACGGAGCACGGGUUGAGACGCUGAUUGGUACUUUGGUACUUGCAGGGCAUUAAAGAGUUGGUACUUGUGUAAUGUGGAAUGUGAAUGUGGAAUUGUGUCGUGUCGAAUGGUUAGCCAAAUACUCAUGUUAAAAUGCGUUAAAUUUGUGAUUCGCGUGAUAUCUCAUGUGAUGCAUAGGAGCCUUUUGCAUUCAGAGAAAGACCUAUUAUAAUGGACACGGUACUUAGUGUGGUACUGGAAAUAGUGCUGGUACUCAUACGCCAACACGUCAGAUUUGGUAACCGCCCAUUUCAUGCCGCAUUUUGGUUCUUGGAAAGCGUUUGAAGUAUAAGAAGGCGAUAGCGUUCAGGCGUGAAGAAUAUGUCUGCAGGUGGAUAAUGUUGAAACCUUGCUUACUUGCUUACUUUGGCCUGCUUGGAUGCUUGUGAAGCUGGAGUCACAAUACAGAGGCCAACUAUCAA